rnacentral:rRNA from 1 species
UGGGGAAUUUUGGACAAUGGGCGAAAGCCUGAUCCAGCAAUGCCGCGUGUGUGAAGAAGGCCUUCGGGUUGUAAAGCACUUUUGUCCGGAAAGAAAUCCUUGGCUCUAAUACAGUCGGGGGAUGACGGUACCGGAAGAAUAAGCACCGGCUAACUACGUGCCAGCAGCCGCGGUAAUACGUAGGGUGCAAGCGUUAAUCGGAAUUACUGGGCGUAAAGCGUGCACAGGCGGUUUGCUAAGACCGAUGUGAAAUCCCCGGGCUCAACCUGGGAACUGCAUUGGUGACUGGCAGGCUAGAGUAUGGCAGAGGGGGGUAGAAUUCCACGUGUAGCAGUGAAAUGCGUAGAGAUGUGGAGGAAUACCGAUGGCGAAGGCAGCUCCCUGGGCCAAUACUGACGCUCAUGCACGAAAGCGUGGGGAGCAAAACAGGAUUAGAUACCCCUGGUAGUCCACGCCCUAAAACGAUGUCAACUAGUUGUUGGGGGAUUCAUUUUCCUUAGUAACGUAGCUAACGCGUGAAGUUGACCGCCUGGGGAGUACGGUCGCAAGAUUAAAACUCAAAUGAAUUGACGGGGUCAUA